AUUGAACGCUGGCGGCAGGCUUAACACAUGCAAGUCGAACGAGUGGCGGGCGGGUGAGUAAUGCUUGGGCAUCUAGCUUAGGGAGGGGGAUAACUACGGGAAACUGUAGCUAAUACCGCGUACCGUAGCCUGAGCCGACGUGGGAUGAGGUAGGUGGUGAGGUAAAGGCUCACCAAGCCGACGAUCUCUAGCUGGUGUGAGAGGAUGACCAGACACCCGGGGACUGGGACACGGCCCAGACUCCGACGGAAGGCAGCAGUGGGGAAGAUGGCGAAAGGGGGGCAACCUGACGCAGCCAUGCCGCGUGAAGGAAGAAGGCCUUCGGGUUGAAAAGUUCUUUCGGGAGCGAGGCGUUAACUACAGAAGAAGCACCGGCUAACUCCGUGCCAGCAGCCGCGGUAAUUC
rnacentral:rRNA from 1 species